AAGACCUUGCGCUUUUGGAGCGGCCGAUGCCUGAUUAGCUUGUUGGUAAGGUAAAGGCUUACCAAGGCUUCGAUCAGUAGCUGGACUGAGAGGACGGCCAGCCACACUGGGACUGAGACACGGUCCAGACUUCUACGGGAGGCAGUAGUGGGGAAUUUUGGACAAUGGGGGAAACCCUGAUCCAGCCAUGCCGCGUGAGUGAAGAAGGCCUUCGGGUUGUAAAGCUCUUUCAGCCGGAACGAAACGGUUACGGAUAAUACCCGUGACUACUGACGGUACCGGAAGAAGAAGCACCGGCUAACUACGUGCCAGCAGCCGCGGUAAUACGUAGGGUGCGAGCGUUAAUCGGAAUUACUGGGCGUAAAGCGUGCGCAGGUGGUUUUGUAAGUCAGAUGUGAAAGCCCCGGGCUCAACCUGGGAACU
rnacentral:rRNA from 1 species